CUUAUCUAUACUAUUUUAUUGACAUCGGUCUGCUAUUGUCACAGGCAUUUAGUCCAUGAUACUGGAUUAGGAAAAUGUAUUUUAAAAUGAAGUAUGAUUUAGUGAAUAGAACUCAAAGUAGAACCACCUGAAGUGCAGUUAGCAUAUUAGUUAACUUAGUUACCAUAUCAGACAGCAUCGCAUAUUUCAGUCUACUUGGGAGUAUUUUGCCAUGUAAAAUAUCCACAAAUUUACUAUGAUUUAUACACAUAGAAUGAGCAGAUCAUAAGAAAUUGGGAUCCCACCAGAAAGAAGGCAGAUCUUAUCAGUCUGUAACACAGAACGCUGCAAAGAAGGGGCUUGUCAGCAUUACAACACAAAGCAGAAGGGGAAGGAAACCUGAUGGCAUCAAACCCUAAAUGCUCCAGUCAUGCCAAGAAAAUACCACAUUCUAAUGCAUAUACAGCCCUGUACAGAUCAGCUUUCUUCCCCUUGCUCCCACACCCCACGUCACAGACGUAUGCUGGAGUUCUGUUACUGGAGCCUCUGAGAGCAGAAAUCCUUCCUGGCUGAAGCCACAAGCCAUGUGAUGCAUCUCUGGAUUACAGCCUCCCACUUCCACCCUUUCCCAAAUAGCUGGUGUGCAUCAGCUGUCAUAGAAACCCAGAGGAGGCAGCUGUGCUCUCUGUUCAGGAGGGUGCACAGAGUAGUGCUACCAUUCUUCUGCAAUUCAAUAAUUCCAGAUGUUUGGAGAAACACACAUUCUGCUCUCGUGCAGUAAAGGAGUUUGACACAAUAAUGGAAAUACUUCCUGGCUUCAGCUUUUUGGUGCUAACUUUGACUGACUCAGGAAGACCCAUCUUGAGGAAAGGACAAGAAUAUUUGCUCUAUCUUGAUUUUUUUCAGCUUGCUAACAGCCGAUACUGACACAAGGUCUGGUCGAUAAAUAACCAAUACUGCAAUAACGGUGACUGCAAGUUGCUUCAGGACAACAGGAAAAAAAAAAAAGGAAAAAAAAAAAGCAAAGAAAAAGCAAAUGCAAUAUAUAUGAAGCAGAAACGCUGUGGAUUUCAUUAAAGUAAAUGGGUGAGGUACGCUGGGAAUACAAAGGACUAGUAGAGAAGAGCUGGACAUGUCAUUUGUGACUCAUUCUUUUAAUUCACCGUGCUAAUCAACUGAACUGCCACAAUCUCCCAAGGUAAUUGUAUCUUUAUAAUAGUUGAAAGCAGUGGGCAAAAAGGCAUGGAUAGAUGGGGAAAGGCCUUCCCUUUGCCUGCUGAGAAACAGUGCGAUACUCUUUCUGCAAGAGACUAAUGGGGCCUUUUUAGAAAAACCUGGAACUUUCAUAUCUCUGCACCCUGAUCAUUUAAUGUCUCAACUUCUGUACUUACAAAGGCUUUGUACACCACACUACACUCUUGUUUCAUUAUUCUGCAGCCUUGUUGCCCUAUGGUCUACCUCCUGCCGGGAAGGUUAAAUGUUAGAGUGCCAAGCCAGACUGCAAGCAUGGUGGGACACUGAUGGGAAACAGAUGCCCUGGGGAUUCGGCCCCUCCCUCGUAUAGGACUACAUAAUUUUCAUUUUCUGAAAUACAGUGAGGCUUGGCUUAGUUCUCAAUGGCAGCUGUAAUUUCCAAAGCCUAUCUCAUUCACCCUAUCACUUCAGGAUAAAGCAAAUCAGGCAGAAGUUUCGCAGGCAGACAGGCUCUGCCUUUGUCUUGGUGCUUUCUGAGCGUUGGGAUAUAGGCGGUUGUCUCCCUCAAAAGGUGUUUUAAAUAUGUUCUCCCGUCAAAGCAUUAGCAAUGUAACUUUAUUACAUCUUAAUGAGAGGAGAAAUCCCUGAUAUUCUCAUGGUUCUUUGGAACAUCUUUACCCAGCAAUAAAAGAGAAGGGUGAUCCCAGGAAAGACAAAACAAAUGGCUUUUCCUUACAGUUUUCCUCACUUAUUUUCAUUUACACAUUACCAAGAGGUGUAAUAUAGCAAAACCUGCUAAAUUUGCAGAAUCUGCACUGAAGACAUCAGUUAAAGGCAUUACUACAAAACAAUUCAAAAUUCAAAGACUGUGCACUGAGAGCCAGAUUGUCAUCUGGUUCAAAUCUGCGGCUUUCCUUGUGUGCAAUGGAAUGACACCAGCUCACAACAGCUACAAAACCUGGAACUUACUCCAAGGCUCUUAAUUCAUUCACUUCAUAUUUUGCUGACCGUGUACCUUAGCUCAAGAGCCACGCUUCUCAUGAUAUCCCGCUGUAGCUUUGUCCAAUCUGCAUUUACAACAGCAUUUUUAAGACUCUAUAAUCUUGACCACAUGCAGUUAUCACUUUCCAGCAAAAUGAAUUAAAUGAUGUCAAUUUGAAAUACAUUAUUAGCACCAAAAGAACCACCGCCACUGCUUCCACGUUUGGUAACUGGUACACAGGUGAGGAUAUGAGGUUUGGUUUUGCUCAGGUUGUAAUUUCUUUUGGAAUAGAUGGGAAACACAAAUGUCCACAGCUGUUUGGACUGCGCCAUUCUGAGAUGCUACCUCCACUUACAAGUUCAGCAAGGGAACUUGGAUGGAAAAACAUAUCUUUGAUGUGUUAACUGUUAAGUUCUAACUUAAAACUACCCAGGAACCCACUGUUCCCAUUAGAUCAAAAUUAACAGAUAGAAACAGUUGCAGUCUAGUGGGAAAAUAUUCAUCAAAAUGCACAUCAUCUGCACAUCGUCUGCAAUCUGCAUUAUCUAUCCAAUAAGCACUAAGAACUCUGCCGGAAUCCCUACAGUCUGUCGAGUAAACAGUUAAAGGCGAUUUGUUUUCGAAAGGGAGAUUGAUUCAUCAGAUCAAAUUUAUUACCUAGAAUCCUCAUCCAAAAGCACCAUAAAUUAAAUUGCUAUUUCUCCAUUUUUCCCCCCAGCAUCUUAGUUAAACUCAUUCUUAAAUGCCAAAAAAACUGUAAUACACAUUUUAGAUAAAUGUCAGCAAUACUUCAUCCCAAAGUAAGACCUCUUGUGUUAGAAACACUGAAAACCACAAAGUUCCUAUUUUUCUUUGCGCCCUUAUAAAUUAAAAUCAAAUGUAUUUAAAAGGGUUGGCUUAAACAAGUCCUUUCCAGGAUAAUGACUUUGUAUCCCAAGUCUCAGGUCUGGAGGAAUUUUCAGAGCCAGAUUGCGAGUAGGGCUGGAUAAAGUUAUUCGGAGCCAACAAAAGCUACUUGAACCCAUGCCUAAAACUUCAGUUGAACCUUUAGGGAAGUUCAAGAAGUUUGGAUAGAUAUUCUAAAAAAUAUUUUUCUCACUGAAUACUUCUGAACUCCUUUCCCUGGCUGGAGCAGAAUAGGACAUACCAGUGACAAUCUACUUCUGGCUGCAAUGGGAACAGGAAGUAACUGGCAUCUUGUGCAAGCUUGAUCUCAUGACAUAUCGAGACAUUAUGAAGACCUGACUGUAAUUCAGAAGCAAGUGAAGAAACUGUGCUUACCGGUGUAGACAAAUCGGCCGGGAGCACCUUUGCAAAACUGUUUGGAUUUGUAGGAGAGAGUCACUUCCACAACCCCUGGAAUGUGCCGUGGCGGUGUCUGAACUCUGAUGGCAUGGGGUGUUAUCAGCUACAAAAGUGGUACAGAAAAUAUGCCUUAAAUCAAGAUGGCACAGAAAAGACCAAUGGCAGACCAUUUACAUAAUUGCACAAAUGACCUGAAAGAGGACUCAUGGUCUCAAAAUCCUCCCUCCUUGCUGUCACAGUUGAAGAUAGAGGUUCUAUAGGGUCUUGUGUUGUUUGUUAUUUGUGGGUUUUUUUUUUUUUCUUUUUUAAGAAAAAGCUCUGUAAAUGAUCCUCGGUUUUAGUUUGCAGGAAAGGCCACAGGGUAUCAUUCAUAUGAAAUUGCCUCCAUAUGUCUCCUUAAGGCUACUUCUAGCAAUUUUAACACUAAUUGUCCAAUUGUACUGGGAGACCUCCUGCAGCAAGUCUUCCACUAGAGGGCCGUGAUGUGCCUCCAGUACAUCCCUCUGCACAGCCGAGUGUCACACGCGGAUCCAUGGCUAAAAAGGCACUGUGAAAUAAAAUCUCAUGAUACCUCA